rnacentral:lncRNA from 1 species
AUGACACAGAAGAUCAGUUUGAAGCAUCCGUUUUGUUCUUUCUUUCUUUCUUUCUUUCUUUUUUUUUUUUUUUUUUUUGAAAAUAAAGCAUCAAGAACAAGUACCCACCUGGAUAAGGGAAGGCUCUGGGACCCAUUCAGGAUGUUAUUGAUGUUUUUGGAGAUGACAUCCAAGAGGAAGAGUUGGCAUUGCAUGGAGGUGGGCUUGGUUAUGCAAUGAAGGCCCUACCCUCUCCAUCAAUAAUUUGGGACAUAAAAUUGCAAAAGACAGAGGAUGUUUACAAGUUGCGGUUCCUUUUCCAUGUAAACACCACUGUGCUCAGCAGUGCUAACUCUGGAAUAAUGGCUUUCCCCAUCCUGUGAGAUUUUUCAGAGAAAAUUCCUUUCUAAGGUGGGUUAGGGACUCUGUUUGGGGGGGGGUGGUACAGGGCGGUGAGGCUUUCCCUUGGAGUCUCUUUCAGGCACUGUCUCAAACCCAUGACACACCAGCCCAGGAAUGCCAUCCAGAGCCAAGAGGAGCCCUGUGCCUCUUCUCUUCCUGGCACUGAGAGCUCACAAAACCCGAGCAGGCGCGCCCGGAUGGCAUUCUGGGCUGUGGGAAAGCCGUGAAUGGGCUCAUUGAAGUGCAUCCAUGAAAAUGAGGGCCCUUUGCAACUGGCAGGGCGUUCAAAGGAUUCCAGAGGCCAUUCUUGGCUGGGGAGAAAGGAGGCCGUAAGAAAUCUAAAAGCCUGAGGAUCGCUCUGCUUAACAGGGAGACCAGGAAAGCUGCCCUCUCUCCUCCCCCAUAAAACGAAGCUAUUCAGGAUCCUUCAAACGCCAGGCAGCGCAACAAAUCACUUUGCCAAACGUGAUCUUUGAAGCACAGGCGACUCAGUGCCUGAGAGCGAGUGCGUCCUUUUCUUUCUGCGCAUCCACGGAAGAUGCGCUGCCUCUCUGGGGAUUUACUCAGGGGCUGCGUAAGCCACGCCUCCCACCCCCGCCCCCAUGGGUAGGGAUCCAAGCCAAGGUGAUGUGCUUUGCCUACAGGCUGUGAAAAUGCUUCUGGAACUUCCGGAAUCAGGUUCAUCUGUAUAGUAGAGUGAAUGAAUGAGAUUAAAAGGGUUUUGAGGAGUUCCCUGGUGGCUCAGGGGGGUAAGGAUCUGGCCACUGCUAUGGCUUGGGUCACUGAUGUGGCCCAGGUUGGGGAACUCCGCAUGCUGGAAGCGCAGCCCCAAAAAAAA